UGGAGCUUGAGGGCAACAACGCAGAGAGCGCUGGAGGAUGAGUGUGCGGCCUCUGGGAAUCUCCACACGGUAAUGCCAGCAUGAUGUUUGACACUCUCGGGAAGAGGUGCUGCCCUUGGAGACUGAAGCCAAGCGCCCUGCUGUUCCUGUUUGUUUUAUGUGUUACCUGUGUUCCUCUCUCAGGUAGGACUCUCUUCACAGCCGGAUUAGCAAGGAUUUCACUGUAAACUUUUGAUUGUCCAUUUUAUCGAAAUGGCCUUAUCUUCUUUUUUCAUCUUUUCUCAUAUAUGAAAGCUCGCAUACUGACCACAGUUUCUCCUCCAUCUUCUCCUCCUUGUCCCUUCUUAACCUCAUCUUUUCUCCAUCCACUCCUUUUCCGGAAGGGCAGGCCUUCUAGGGAUUUCAACCAAACAUGGCCUAUCAAGUAGCAAAAAGACUAGACAUCUGCCUUCAGGUUAGGGUUAGCCAAGGCAACCCAGUAGGAUAAAAAGGCUCCCCAAAUCAGGCAAAACAGUCACAGACAGCACCCUGCUCCCACUGUUAGGAGUGCCACAAGAAGACGAAGCUACACAACCAGAGCAUAUAUACAAAGGGCCUAGGUCAGACGCUUGCAGCUCAGACUUGUUAGUUUAGUCUCCGUGAGCCCCGGGGAACCCUGGGUAGUUAAUUCUGUGGGUUUUCUCAGACAGGAAAUGACCGUAUCUUUCCUAGCUACAUUCCUUCCUUUCAUUUCACAUCCUUCUAACUUUGCCUUUGGCCUCUGACCUCCAUCCUCCAUCUCCUUCCAGGUCUAUAUGAAUUCUAUCAUGGCCGCCAUUGUUCUGACUCCUAAUGAGCUUUUUAACUCUUUGCUAUCUUCCUUUGGAUUUUACUUGUUUAUUUAGCCUAUAGUGAGUGACAGACAACCACAUAACUGACAGGGAAAAGGUAUUGGCUGUUUCUUCUCUUGAACAAAUCCGCUGCACUCACCUUUCCUUUCCAGUUCUCAUACAGUCAUUUACAGAAAGUGUAGACUUUGCCAAUUUUCAUCAGUCUUGACUUGAUUAACUUCUUGCAAUAUGGAUUUUGCAAUUUUCGAUGACGGAAUUUAAAAUUAUGCCUUUUAGCUCACAGUUUGCUUAUAUUACAGGGUAUGGAAAAGUUUAUUUUAUCUUUGUGUCUUUUUUUUAAUUAAAAUAUUUAUUUCUUGUAAUUGAGCUUUUCCUUAAUCUUUGAACUAGGAUUCUUUGGAUGUUGAAAAUUACAUUUUUAUAAAUAGUCACACAAGUAGGCCAACUCGUAUGGACAGGGUUUUAAAGGGCACUGUUAUCUUGAAGCUUUUCUAGUAAGUUCACUGUCUAUUUUUUAUUUUCUCUUCUUACACUCACUUUACCCCAUUCGAAUAGGGCUAAAAGGUCAGUUAACAAAGUAACUUGAUUUUUAUGGGACAUGAUUCAGGAUUUAAUCGGGAUUGUUCAGGUUCACAACAUUCUGUAUGCUCAUGUAAAUGGUGCAUUUCAGGAAUCUUUGAAGUAGAUUAUUCACCAAAACUGCUUACUCAUGAAUCAUGACCCUCAGUUUGUUCUCAGUGUGCAGAGAAUUUUUUUUUCCCAUGUCAAGAGUUUUGAACUACUCGCUUGGAAAAUCCCUGGCACUUUUUAAAAAGCUUUUUAAACAAAACUGAUUUCUGGGUGCAUUUUUGUGUGUGUUCUUUAGAAUAUCUGUGUAAAGUCAGUCUUUCUGUUCCUUAGUCAUUGCCAAAAGAAAGUGCUUUAAGGAGACCUGAAAGCAAAAUGUGGAUGGAAUUUCGGUGAUGUAUUGUGCUGAACUAUUUCUUAACCUUCAAAGUGGUUUUUCAAGAACCAGUUGGAUGAUGUAAGAUAAAUUAUGAUGUGAAAAUUAGUUGAGGUCUGUUUACUUUCGUUUCUGUGAGGUCAUGCAUUUGUAAACUUUCAGCGUUUCUGCAAACCAGUGUACCUCAAAUUGGGCCCUGCGUUUUUACAUCUCAUCAUUCUAAUUGAUGUAUGCGCACCCCCGAAUUUUUGUCUUUUGAAUAACUGGAAUCAAACUUAUACUUUAAAGUAAAUUAAAAUAAGUCAACCAGGCUGGGACUGGGGCUGAGGCUAGAGAUGCCUAGGGGUGUUCAGGCUGUUAAAAGGCACCCACAUCUGAGACAAGGCAAUCACAAGUUCAUUUGAAGUGAUUCUCUGACCCCAAGUGUCUAUUCUUUUAACAAACAUCUCUCUUGCCUUGCCCCUAGAAUACAUCAAAUACAGUUUCUUUGCUCAGAGGGCUUUGCAUUUGCUUUUCUCUAGCCUUCUCUUAUUCACUGUGCCAAAACCUCACACAUAAAUGGCUGAAAUCCCACCCGCCCUCCCCCACAUACUGUAGAUGUUAUUAGGGAUAUUUGGAUAUAUGAAAUUCUUGCCUUGAUUACUAACUCAGCAGUGGCAUUUCUUAAAAGGAACUCUGAUGUUUAAAAAUGAUUCUGAUUACCACUUUAGAGAAACUUAACUCUCAUUCUUGCCAUUUAGAGACGUGAGCUUAACACUGUAUUUGAUGAGAACACUUAGUGCUUAACUGUAAUGUCCCUUAUGUCCACAUUCCAACCUUUCAUAGCUUUGUAUGCGACUAGACCAGCUUACAUUCUGGGGACGUUUAAUGACAUUUUGAUGCUAAUGUCUCCUAAGUCCUCACGUUCAGUCUAGAGUCAUCUGUCUGUUUGCUGGUGGGCUUCUCCCUUAGAUUUAUAAUACCUCUCAGAUUUUACAUGUGGAAAUUAAUUUUGUAGUAAUAUAAUAAUCCUGAUUCCUACCCAAAGUCCCUUGUCUAUUUCUUUGUCAACCUCUACAAGCCCCCAGACCACCUUAAGGUUCUGUCACCCCUCACUGUUUCUCAGGCAAACGUCUGUUCUUUGACUUUCCCUUCUCAUCAGACUCUUUCUUUGAUCCCCACGUUCUAAGAAUAGGUCUGCUGCUUCCGAUGUGCUUGCCUGUGUGAUUGCUCAGAUUCUCAACCUUCUUAAUGAUACAAUCUCUUAAUACAGUUCCUGUUAUUGUGACUCCCAGCUAUAAAAUUAAUUUUGUUGCUACUUAAUAACUGUAAUUUUGUUACGUUAUAAACUGUAAUGUAAAUAUCUGUGUUUUCUAAUGGUCUUAGGCAAACCCCGGGAAGGCCCCAUCUCCCAAAGGGGCGUCAAACGACAGAUUGAGAAACACUGCUCUAUCAGAUGAUGCAUUCUCAACCCACAGUUCAGAGGAUCCCCAGUCUCAUUCUUUCCUGUUAUCCUGGAUAGUAAUCUACACUUACUGGAAAAUUUUCAUUGCAAAUGUGUUGCUAUUUUGAUUGUAAUAGCUAGGGUAGAUGACUGAUAUAUUCUUUAGACUACUAAAAUUGAUAGUUCAAAUGAGUAAAGUGAAAUUCUUAUAGUUUAUUUCUAUUAGCACCCAUACUUUAUAUGUCAGAAAGGCAACAUCAACACUCUUAGUCUUAGAAGGUAGGUUAACAAUACGCCUUCAAGGAAAAAAAACACAAUUAUUGAAAGUAAUACAUGAAAAACAACUCAUUGGCUGAUUCAUGAUGGCUGUAACAGUAAGAACUACAACAAAAUAACAACUGGACAUGUUAACUGGUCCCAUAUAGAUGAAAAUUCAAACAAUAAAAUGUGAUUUUUUUUAUACUCCAGCUUACCAACUGUUAAAAUAGUUGUUAGCAAAGCUGAAGUUGUUGGGAAAACAGCACUAUUAGUUCCCUUUCAGAAAAGUGGUUGACAAAUACAUCAUAAAAUUUGAGGUGCGUGCUGUCUUUGGAUACAAGUUCUACACACAGGUAAUAAAAAUGCAUAUGGCAAGAUGUGUGUUAGUGUGUUAAUGUAACAGCAAGCAAUUGGAAAAUGCUAAUUGUUAAUCAGCCAGAUAAUGGUUAUAUAAAUCAUUUUACAUCAUGCUAUGAAAUACCACAGAGUUCUUAAAAACAAUGAGGUAAAACCGUGCAUACUGGUUUACUAUAAUGGCUAGUCUGAGGUAAUAGUGUGGAAUGAGAAAUCAGAUUAUAGAGGAAUAUGAAAUUAUCUCACAUUCUAAUGGGUCAUAUUAGAGAAGUGGGACAUUUUAUAUCUAUAUGUUUAUGUGACUUCAUAAACACAUUUAAACAAAAAAACGGAGCAGACCAAGCUUUCAGAAUGAGUAAUCUCUGGGGGAAGGAGAAGGCAGAGACAGUUUAUAUACUUGUGGAUUUAAAAAAAUAAUUAAACUUGUUUUUUCCUUACUGUAUGUUGUGGGGCAAGGACAGAUGGAGAUCAGAGGGUAACUUGUGAGAAUCUGUCAUCUUCUUCCACUAUGUGGUCCUUGGGAGUAGAACUCAGGUUACCAGUCUUGACCAAGUGUCUCUGCUCCCUGAGACAUCAUACUGCCCCAAAUGUUUUGUUUUUACCACAAGCAUGUAUUAGUCCUGUGACUUGAAGAGAACUUGAUGAGCUUUGCUGCUGUUUUGAUUGAAUGAGCCACACAGAAGCUGGUCCGAGUGUUUAAGCAAAUGACGGACCUUCCGAGUCACUGAGCUGACUCUUUCUUUACUUGAAGAUUCUUAGACAUGUUUCAGAUCAUAACUUCCUUUUGUGCAUGACACUCUGUGACUCUGAAGAUAAAUAAUGAUAUAAAAGCAGGCAGAAAUUAUGGCUUCAAGUAGAGUAGGGGAACAAACAGCUGUAAGCCAACAAAUUCCUAAGCAACCAAAAGUCGGUUUCCACACAGAUAGACUUAGUCAUGAGCACCGGGGGAGGAGCCUCCCUUCUCCCCUGAAAACCAGUAGUAUCAGCAGGUUGGUGUUCUGACAUCCAUGAGACAUCAGUGACAGAAAGGGGAAGUAAUUAUGGAAGUAAAUUUGGCUCCAAAUGCUGGGUACUUUCUGUCCCUGAGCACAACACAGUUCUAAAAGCCAGGCGACUAGACAAAUAACAAAAUGUAUGCUUUCUGUUCUUGCUUGAGUCUAAACUUUUACAUGCUCUUAGAACAAGCAACUGGAAUCUAGCAUCUAUUGUGAUGAAGUAUGCAUUUAUAGUAAACUGAUACUGUACAUAUUUUAAGAUGUGAUCCAAAAUGUCCAGAGAAAUAAUCAUUAUAUAAAACUUCAAAAAUUUAAGCC
rnacentral:lncRNA from 1 species